rnacentral:rRNA from 1 species
AAACCAUUCUCCCUCCUAAGUCCAGGCGAUAGAAAAGGAAAUUUGGAGCAAUAGACAAAGUACCGCAAGGGAAAGCUGAAAAAGAGAUGAAAAAGCCCAGUAAAGCUUAAAAAAGCAGAGAUUGAAGCUCGUACCUUUUGCAUCAUGAUUUAGCUAGCACCCUCAAGCGAAGAGCCCCUAAAGUUUGAAACCCCGAAACUGGGUGAGCUACUCCAAGACAGCCUAUUAUAGGGCAAACCCGUCUCUGUGGCAAAAGAGUGGGAAGAGCUUUGAGUAGAGGUGACAGACCUACCGAACCCAGUUAUAGCUGGUUGCCUGUGAAUUGAAUAGAAGUUCAGCCCCCUAGAUUCUCCAUUCAUGUACUUUAUUAACCUUCUGGAUACAAUGAGAAACAAGGGGCGUUAGUCAAAGGAGGUACAGCUCCUUUGAAACAAGAUACAACUUUCCCGGCAGGAUAAAGAUCAUACUCAAGUAAGGAAAAAUGUUUUAGUGGGCCUAAAAGCAGCCACCUUAACAAAAAGCGUUAAAGCUUAGACAUACAAUUCUCCCUAUAUACCGAUAACUCGCAUCUUAUUCCGCCCCACUUAACAGGCCCCCCUAUGCCACCAUAGGGCCGAUUAUGCUAAUAUGAGUAAUAAGAAAGUAUUAUACACUUUCUCCCCGCACGUGUGUAAAUCGGAACGGACCCCCCACCGAAUAUUAACGGCCCCAACUAAAGAGGGUACUGGAAACCACCAUAAAUACAGGCUAGAAAAACAUCCAAAACCAACCCGUUAACCCCACACUGGUGUGCCUAAUAGGAAAGACCAAAAGGAAAAGAAGGAACUCGGCAAACAUACCCCAAGCCUCGCCUGUUUACCAAAAACAUCGCCCUCUUGCAUAAUACUAGUAUAAGAGGUCCGCCUGCCCAGUUGACUAUUAGUUCAACGGCCGCGGUAUUUUGCCCGUGCAAAGGUAGCGUAUUCACUUGUCUUUUAAAUCAAGACCCGUAUGAAUGGCAUAACGAGGGCUUAACUGUCUCCUUUUCCAAGUCAAUGAAAUUGAUCUCCCCGUGCAGAAGCGGGGAUUAACACAUAAGACGAGAAGACCCUAUGGAGCUUUAGACGUAUGGGUAGAUCAUGUUAAACACCCCUUAACAAAGGCCUAAACUAAAUGAAACCUGCCCCCAUGUCUUUGGUUGGGGCGACCAUGGGGAAUACAAAACCCCCACGUGGAACGGGAGUACACCCCCUAUUUCUUCCUCUCCCACAAGCCAGAGCGACAGCUCUAGCCAGCAGAAUUUUUGACCAAACUGAUCCGGUAAGCCGAUCAACGAACCGAGUUACCCUAGGGAUAACAGCGCAAU